AACUGCUUAAGCGGCCAUUUUAUUAAUCUAACAUAAUCUUCUAGCAUCAAACACUGAACGAAACGGUAACAUAUCGACCAUGUCGAUUCGACCAUCGGAGAUACGAUUCGCACAAGGUUCCAUAGCCAACCAUUUCAAAACCGGAAUGACUUUAGUAGACUCGCUAAAGGACAUCUUGAGAAGCCCGUAUGGAAUCGGCGCUAAACUCCGCAGUCUGCCCAAGAUAGAAGUCAUGGAGUAUAACGGGUACUAUUACGCUAUCGAUGGCAACAGACAACUGUAUCUUUACCAAAAACUGGAGUCUGCCGGGUUGAUCACACAAGUCGAGGUUACGGUCCUGUCGUUUAACAUGGCGUCAUUCAUGAUGCGACACACCACUAAGUGCGAUGGUGUGUCUGUAACAGUGCGAGGCUCCCCAUAUAUGGAUCAAGAACUGGAUUUCGUCAUUAGAUCUUUUAGAUCAGUGCGCCGAUAAUUAGAUUACAGCGACCAGGCCAAAGACGACCCAGGUGCGACUGUCGAAUGUGAAUACAACUGAACAACUUAAAAACAGCAUGCCUAGAGGGUGGAGUUAAUCAUUCACUGGAUAUGACAAUAAGUGUGUGUAGUGCGUGCGUGUGCGUAUGCGCACGCGUGUAUGUUUGUGGUUGUUUCUUGUGAAAUUCGUAAAACAUCUUUAUUUAUAAUUCUACAAAACAUCUAAACAGCAUUUGAUUACUAAUGACGUUGUGAGCAUAAACAAAAACUGUGAUUUUAUUCAGUAUUUAGGGUCGAUUCUAAGCUUAUUUAUGAUUCCCAAAUAAUCUACGGAUGUGUUUAUUCUUGAUAUUCAAAAUGAUUUGUUUCUUCAAUAAAACGUUUUAUUAAAGAAA